ACGGAAGGCAGCAGUGGGGAAUAUUGCACAAUGGGCGAAAGCCUGAUGCAGCGACGCCGCGUGAGUGAAGAAGUUAUUCGUAACGUAAAGCUCUAUCAGCAGGGAAGAAAAUGACGGUACCUGACUAAGAAGCCCCGGCUAACUACGUGCCAGCAGCCGCGGUAAUACGUAGGGGGCAAGCGUUAUCCGGAUUUACUGGGUGUAAAGGGAGCGUAGACGGCAUGGCAAGUCUGAAGUGAAAUCCCGGGGCUCAACCCUGGAACUGCUUUGGAAACUGUCAAGCUAGAGUGCAGGAGAGGUAAGCGGAAUUCCUAGUGUAGCGGUGAAAUGCGCAGAUAUUAGGAGGAACACCAGUGGCGAAGGCGGCUUACUGGACUGUAACUGACGUUGAGGCUCGAAAGCGUGGGGAGCAAACAGGAUUAGAUACCCUGGUA
rnacentral:rRNA from 1 species